rnacentral:rRNA from 1 species
AUGGGAUGGUUGCAAGAGACUUUGUGGACUCCAGGUGAAUGCCUUUCACAACUUCGCAUGAGCACAGAAGUAUUCAUGGACCUUCACGACUUGUUGGUGCGAAGGUACGGGUUAGAAUCAUCCAUGCAUGUGAGCACCUAUGAAAGUCUUGCAAUGUUCCUCUUCUUUUUUGGAAAUGAGUCCAACAGAAGAGUUCAAAAUCGUUUCAAGCACUCGGGCGAAACCAUUAGUAGGAAAUUUGAUGAGGUUCUGAAUUGUUUGAUGAAAAUGGCAAAAGAUUUCAUUAGACCUAAAACCCCCAACUUUCCAACUGUUCAUAAGAGGAUAAGAGAUGAUAGACGGGCGUAUCCACACUUCAAAGAUUGCAUUGGUGCACUUGAUGGCACGCAUAUUUCAGUGUCUCUGUCUCCUGAGGAUAGUGUCAGAUAUAUUGGGAAAUCAAGGAUACCGACUCAAAAUGUUCUUGCAAUUUGUGACUUUGACAUGCUAUUCACUUAUGUGUCCGUGGGGCAACCAGGAGCUAUGCAUGACACUAGUGUGUUAUACAAUGCAAUAAGUGUUGAUGAAAGUUUCUUCCCACACCCUCCAAAAGGCAAAUACUAUGUUGUUGAUGCGGGAUAUCCCAAUCGUCCGGGAUACCUGGCUCCUUACAAGGGUGAGAGGUAUCAUAUGCCAGAAUGGCAUAGAGGUAUGGAGCCCAAGACUCCAACAGAAAAAUUCAAUCGUGUUCACUCAUCUAUCCGCAAUGUUAUUGAGCGAUCAUUUGGAGUGCUAAAAAUGAAGUGGCAGAUUCUCUAUAAGAUGUGACCGUACCCGAUGUUCAAACAAAAAAUGAUCGUUGUUGCCACUAUGGUCCUUCACAACUUUAUUCGCGAGCAUAACAGCGUAGACUUGGACUUUGAGCGGUUCGACCGUGAUCCUGAUUAUGUGCCUACAAUUCCAGAUAGGUAUAACAAAUUUGUUGUUGCCUCAGAUAGAUCUACUGCGGAACCGGAUGCUCCGACCAUGGAUAAAUUCCGUGACGAGUUAGCCACCGCUAUUGCCUCUGGUUGGAAGUAG